AUACGGAGGAUCCGAGCGUUAUCCGGAUUUAUUGGGUUUAAAGGGAGCGUAGAUGGGUGUUUAAGUCAGUUGUGAAAGUUUGCGGCUCAACCGUAAAAUUGCAGUUGAUACUGGAUAUCUUGAGUGCAGUUGAGGCAGGCGGAAUUCGUGGUGUAGCGGUGAAAUGCUUAGAUAUCACGAAGAACUCCGAUUGCGAAGGCAGCCUGCUAAGCUGCAACUGACAUUGAGGCUCGAAAGUGUGGGUAUCAAACAGGAUUAGAUACCCUGGUAGUCCACACGGUAAACGAUGAAUACUCGCUGUUUGCGAUAUACUGCAAGCGGCCAAGCGAAAGCGUUAAGUAUUCCACCUGGGGAGUACGCCGGCAACGGUGAAACUCAAAUGAAUUGACGGGG
rnacentral:rRNA from 1 species